rnacentral:sRNA from 1 species
GCGGCAAUUUUGCGGACGGGUGCGGGC